CUUGUGUGGACGAAACGUACGUCUGGCGUAUUAAAUUUUAAACCUCGACCUUUUGUAAGCUAUCAUUCGUGUGUUUCUCUGUCCUAUAUAAUUUCCCUUUAUUUGUAUUGUAGUCUUGUCAUGUAAUGUUGUCAUUUUAAUGUUAUAUUUAACACUGCCAUAAAAGCGGGAGGUUUGGCAUGCCACAAAACCAGGUUCAACCCACCAUUUUUAAAAUGUCCUGUACCAAGUCAGAAAAAUGGCCAUUGUUAUAUUAAAGUUCGUUUCUGUGUGUGUUACAUUUUAAUAUUGUGUUGUGUCGUUGUUCUCCUAUUAUAUUUGAUGUGUAUCCCUGAGUUUUAGUUUGUU
rnacentral:lncRNA from 1 species